GUAGUGACGAAAAAUAACGAUGCAGAACUCUUUCCGAGGCUCUGCAAUCGGAAUGAGCACACUCUAAAUCAUUUAACGAGUAUCCAUUGGAGGGCAAGUCUGGUGCCAGCAGCCGCGGUAAUUCCAGCUCCAAUAGCGUAUAUUAAAGUUGUUGCGGUUAAAAAGCUCGUAGUUGGAUCUGUGUUCCACGCUGUCGGUUCACCGUUUGUCGGUGUUUAACUGACAUGUCGUGGUACGUCCUGCCGGUUGGCGGCGCGUGCCCGCAAGGGUUUCGCGUUCGCCAGUCGAAUCCUGUCGCGGUGCUCUUCACCGAGUGUCGAGGCGGGCCGGCACGUUUACUUUGAACAAAUUUGAGUGCUUAAAGCAGGCUAUUACGCCCGAAAACUGUGUGCAUGGAAUAAUGGAAUAGGACCGCGGUUCUAUUUUGUUGGUUUUCGGAGUCCGAGGUAAUGAUUAAUAGGGACAGGCGGGGGCAUUAGUAUUGCGACGUUAGAGGUGAAAUUCUUGGAUCGUCGCAAGACUGACCUAAGCGAAAGCAUUUGCCAAGGAUGCUUCCAUUAAUCAAGAACGAAAGUUAGAGGUUCGAAGGCGAUCAGAUACCGCCCUAGUUCUAACCAUAAACGAUGCCAGCCAGCGAUCCGUCGAAGUUCCUCCGAUGACUCGACGGGCAGCUUCCGGGAAACCAAAGCUUUUAGGUUCCGGGGGAAGUAUGGUUGCAAAACUGAAACUUAAAGGAAUUGACGGAAGGGCACCACCAGGAGUGGAGCCUGCGGCUUAAUUUGACUCAACACGGGAAACCUCACCAGGCCCAGACACUGGAAGGAUUGACAGAUUGAUAGCUCUUUCUUGAUUCAGUGGGUGGUGGUGCAUGGCCG
rnacentral:rRNA from 1 species